UACAAUAAAUUGUUGAUAUCAGACAAAAACUCUCUGUUAGUUUAUCUUUACUGAGAAACUUUACAAAGUCAAGCAGGAGGUUGCCUCCGCACUUCCCGCUGGCUUCUGUUUUUCGGGGCCGUUUCCAUCGCUAUGAUAGAUAACACUAAGUUAAUGGAACGUUUCCAGCCAUAUACUACCACCAGGAGCUACCUACGACUGUGGCGCGUCUGCUUGGUUGCUCGCGCCUCCGUUAUUGCCGUCAUGCCCCUUAUACGUCGCGAAGGCCCGCGAUGGAGCGUAUCUCCCCCGU
rnacentral:lncRNA from 1 species